GCUGGCGGCGUACUUAACACAUGCAAGUCGUACGAGAAAUUCCGUUUCGGCGGGAGAGUAAAGUGGCGAACGGGUGAGUAAUACAAGGGUAAUCUGCCCUUAAAUUAGGGAUAACCUUGCGAAAGCGAAGCUAAUACCUGAUAAGACUACGACCUCUUAGGGGGAUGUAGGAAAAGAUGGCCUCUGUUUCAAGCUAUCGUUUAAGGAUGAGCCCUUGCACUAUUAGCUUGUUGGUGGGGUAACGGCCCACCAAGGCUACGAUGGUUAGCUGGUCUGAGAGGAUGACCAGCCACACUGGAACUGAGACACGGUCCAGACUCCUACGGGAGGCAGCAGUGAGGAAUAUUGCGCAAUGGGGGAAACCCUGACGCAGUGACGCCGCGUGAGUGAUGAAGGCUUUCGAGUCGUAAAGCUCUGUUAGGUGGAAAGAAACAUUCCAACGCUAAUAUCGUUGGAACUUGACGGUACCACCAGAGGAAGCACCGGCUAACUCCGUGCCAGCAGCCGCGGUAAUACGGAGGGUGCAAGCGUUGUUCGGAAUUACUGGGCGUAAAGGGCGUGUAGGCGGUUAGGCAAGUCAGGUGUGAAAUCCCUUGGCUCAACCAAGGAAGUGCGCUUGAAACUGCUUAACUCGA
rnacentral:rRNA from 1 species